AAGAGAACCCUCGGCGGCAAGAUGGCAGCGGCGGGCGAGGGCACCCCGAGCUCCCGCGGGCCGCGUCGGGACCCGCCUAGGCGGCCGCCCCGGAACGGUCACGGGAAGUUGUUAUUUAAAGAUGGCAGUUAUUACGAAGGGGCGUUUGUGGACGGAGAGAUCACGGGAGAAGGCCGCCGGCACUGGGCCUGGUCAGGAGACACCUUCUCUGGACAGUUUGUUCUGGGAGAGCCUCAAGGCUACGGCGUCAUGGAGUACAAAGCCGGCGGAUGUUAUGAAGGGGAGGUCUCCCACGGCAUGCGGGAAGGACACGGGUUUCUGGUGGACCGGGAUGGACAAGUGUACCAGGGCUCCUUCCAUGACAACAAGAGGCACGGCCCUGGGCAGAUGCUCUUUCAGAACGGUGACAAGUACGACGGCGACUGGGUCCGGGACCGGCGUCAGGGACACGGGGUGCUGCGCUGCGCCGACGGCUCCACCUACAAGCUCUGAUCCACCCAUCUAUAGUAGGAGAAACUCAAGGAGACAUCGGCUGCUACCCAGGCACCAUGAGCUCAGGGUUGGUGAGGCCCCUCCGGGAGACCUGUUCUCCCUCUCGACAGCAGCUUCUUCUGACGGAAAAUAAGAACAGCGGAUCCCAAAGCAGAGAAGGCUCCUCUUCCACAGGGACAGGAGCCACGCGGCUCAGGCCGGUCCCGGAAGCCACAGAGGUCCUGGGCCACGAGCACCCCCACCAGCCUGUGACGCCUCAGCCAUCUCCGUCCCCCACACUCCUAGUUUACAGCUUACUGCUCGACCUCCCAGGACCCGAGGGCUUGGGCAGGCCCCACACGUCCUCCAGAACAUCCUCGGUGGGAGACGGAGCAGACAGAGUAGAGGCCACACGUGUGUGUGCACAUCAGAGUGUCUCCUACCCAUGUUGGCAGCAGCGCGGCCCUCCGGGCAUCCCUGGCUGUAUCAGCUGCGCCGUGAGUGUUGGCUGUCUCACACGCCAGCUUUCCCGGAGUUGCCGCUGGGUGCCGAGCACCUGCUCACUGCACGGAGCAGGUGGCUCCUUCUGGGCGGCUUUGCCUGCCGCAGUCCCCGAGCCUCCUCUCCUCAGCUGGGCGUGUGUGGGAAUGCCCAACCGGGGGCCUCCACGGGGCCUAUAGCCUCCACGUUUGGGCCUACUGCCCUUGGACCCAGGGGUCACAGUCCAGGAAGCCUGGGCCAGUGGGGGACUCCUGGGGUGCAUGUAACACUGAGAAUCAUGUAGAUAAUUUGGGGUGUUUGAGCACGCAUGGCCUGUGGGGAGUCUGGCCGGCUUGCCUCAUGUGGACCCCCCACCACCCUGGGGCAGAGGAGGGGGCCGGCUGUUGGGGCCGUCAUGGAAGCACUAGGGUUACACUAGGGCAGGCCCCAUGUCCCCUCUGGAACUCCUCACAGUUCACACCUUGAAGCCCAGGCACUUGCGAUGGGACCAGCGAGGUCAAAUGCAGGACCCCUGGUCCUCACUGUUACCAUGAAGUGAUGCAAAUGGCCGGUCUUCAGAAACCAGAGCUAGCCCCACCCGUGCCACCAAGGCACACCAGCCCCUGAGCAGUCGCAGGGCCCAGGCAGAAGGGUCCGGCAGGCUCCUCACUCAUGACGUGGCCUGAGGGGGCUGGGCAGCUGGUCCUCGGAGCCCCCACCUGGUGCACCAGGCCGUGAACCUCAGCAAAGGCCCCGUCUCUUGAUGCCCAAGGUUUGGCAAUGGUUGGGGGUUACUUUCUCCAGACCACAGCACCCUCGAGGCCAACACUGGGGAAAGCUGGAGCCCCUGCUCUUCACCCCCACCUCCCAGGGCUGUUGAACCCCAAGGAGCACCAGACCCAGGACCCCCCCAGGAGGGCCAGAGGCAGGAAGUGCCUGAUGGUGCCAGGGGAGGGUGGAUGCCUGACUAGGGCCUGAAAACAGAGGGCAUAGCUUCCAAUAAAGCAUGGAAAGAAAACAGCAUGAAUGGACCAGAAGUGCUUCCCAUUGGGAGAAAGAAGAGCACUCACAACCUCUUCUGCCCCAGGCUGCUUGGAGUGGGCCAGCGCCAGAGCAGUCCCUGCACCAGCCGAGCCGUCCGAGCUUGUCGACUAUCAGGGAAGGUGUGAGCCUUCGGCUGAGUGGUGCUGGGAGCUGGGGAGAGCCGAGCACUGCCCGGGGCCUCCUGAGUGCUCUGCCACCCGGCUGGGCAGGGAAGGGAGGGCCCCUCACAGAGGACACCCUUGUGGUCCUGGGGUCGCCUUUGUGACCGAGGGGGACGUAUGUGUGUCACCAUCAUCCUGCACGACUGCUUCCUGACUUUGGAACCGCUGUUUGCCUCUGUGUUUUGGGUGUGGACCUGGACCCCAGUGGCCCUUCCCCAAAGGUCGUGUGACCACCACCACCUUCCCGUGUCCCGUACCGCACACCUGUGCUCACCUGGGUGCCAGGCAGUGGCCCAGCAGGGAGGAGGAGGGUGAGCAGGUGGCAAAAUGCCCAUUCCUCGGUCCCAGCCUGUGUGUGGCUGAGGCCCCGCACGUAACUCUCCACGCUGGGCAUCGGCCUGGACUGUGCCUGGGUGCUCCCUGAGGCCCGGGUGGGAGGCAGCUGCUCCAGGACUCUCAGUGUCCCAGUCUGUGCCGUCAGCAGGAGGAUCAGGAGCCUCCCCUGCACCCUAUUUAAUAAGCUCUUGCUCGUUCCUGCUUGGGGUACAUGAAACAGAAACAGCCGAAUUGUCAAAGGUGUGAUUGAUAACGUGAAUUAGACAAGACCGGGCUAUUGGAUCAGUUGAAUUGAUCACUCAAAUGUGCUUGGACUGACCAAGUGCUGCAUGAAAGCUUGCCUGGCUCAGCCCUCCCACCCGGACACCAGCGGUGGGUACCGAGGAUGCCAAGCCCUGACCUGAUUGCUGCGCACCCAGGGAGGGGGAUGCCAGGCAGGCUCGUGCCACAUACGUGAGCCGCAGCCCCAGACCAACCAUGGGAGGAGCCACUCACCCCAAAGGCGGGCUCUGCACCUCUGCAUUUCUCAUGACUCGAGUGUGUCUGGCUUCCCCUGCCCAGCCACAGCCUCACUGGGUACUCACCCUGGACGCCAUAUUGCAGCUGGUGUCAGCCCUGCCCCGCAGCUCCACCUCCCUCCUCCUGAAAGCCCGGGGCACCUUCCAGAGGCCGAGCAGGUGGAAGGGGGCAGAGACCAGACAUCGCCAUUCUCAUCACUGACGGUGACGGGGGCCCCGGACGCCCUGAAGAGCCCUCAGCUGUGCGCUGACUCGCGCCUCUCCCCGUCCAGCGUGAAUGAGAUGAGAGACAGUGAGGACAAUGGUCCCAGGAAGGGACCCUCAAGAGAUGCCAAUCAAAUGCGUUGGACUCUCACCCAGUUUGGUGGGAACGUCUGGAGUCAUAGGACAGAGAGCUGAGGGGGCAAGGCUGAGGGGAGGUGCUCUGUGGAUGCAAGGGUGCCCACGGCCUCCAACAGGGCAUGGCAUGGCCUCCAGGCAUGCCGUGCAGCAGCAGUCAGGGCAGCCCAUGGACUCUGCGCCAGUCCUUGGUAGCUGAAGCCCAGAACCACUCUCACCUGACCCCACAUGUGGUCAGCUCUGGGGCCCCCAUCCACUGUAGUUGCCAGUGUGGAUGGUGCUUGCCCAGAGCCCAGGGUGGCACGGUGAACCGGACUCUGAUCUUCAGGGCAACUGUCUAGGCCGAUGGGGUGACGUCAGUGGUGCGCUCAGCUUGGAACACUGCAGGAAUGCAGCCGGGUGGGUGCUGGCUGGGAUCUUGGGGUCUGGGAGCUGGAGGAACAAGAGCCUCAGGAGCAAGGGCCCUGUCCAGACAGCAGCCGGGCCUCUGCCCACCUGGCACCCCGAGCUGGCUGCCCAGCCUCUCCUGAAGCUGAGAGCUGCCUUUUUGCUGCCUCCGGGCACCCACGCGGGCUGCCAGUUGUCUCGGAUCGGAGCCCCCUGCCUGGAGGCGUGAGCCGUGCUCCCAGCCAGCAGCUGUGAGUUGCCCCCACCCUGCCCCAGCCCUUCAUGUACUGUGGCUCUCCCUGGCCUUUGGGGCAAUCCAGUCGCCUUCAGGACUGUCUGCAGAGGCCCUGUCUCCCUGCAGCCAGAGAGAGCUCCAGCGCCAUCCACUUGUCCCUGAUCUGCCACACUCCUCAGCCCUGGCCCUCGGCCCUCGCUGUCUCUUCCCACACAUCCCAGGGCCCAGGAUCCGUGGAGAAGCCCCAGAAGGCACACGCUGCGCCCUGCAGACCUGCCACCGCUGCCUCGGGGUUCCCCUGGGAAAGGCACCCAGGGAGGGCCGGGCAGGGAAGCAGGAGCCCACUUGGCUCCUGCCAGAGAGUGAACAGAAGCAAAACGUGCCUUUGGUUAAUUUUUCUUCUAAUAGAAGUAAUUCAGAGUCAAAUGAAAUACCAUUUAAAUUUUCCAUGAAAAUAAUCACCCUGCUAUUUCACAUGAUUUUCCCAGGCUUUGUUGUAUGACUUGGAAACCAGGCUUGUUAUGAAGGAGGCAGAGUUGGGGUGUACAGCGAACAGGCAUUUCUCCCAAGCUCACGGGCACAUUUUUUCAAACUGUGUUUUUUAAUUGGCCUCUUCAUGUAUAAAUGAACAGUGUAACGGACAAGCAGGGCACCUUAAUCCCAACGCCACAGUCGGCCAGUUUGCGGGUUCAGGCCUCCUUUAUGAUACAUGCCACAAACACAAUAUCUUUGUAUUAAAAGGAUUUUUUUUUUUUGCUGAAA